rnacentral:rRNA from 1 species
UACGUAGGGGGCGAGCGUUGUCCGGAGUUACUGGGCGUAAAGCGCACGCAGGCGGUCUGCUAAGUUUGGAGUGACAGUUGGUGGCUUAACUGCCAAAGUGCUUCGAAAACUGACAGACUUGAGGGCUUCAGAGGGACACGGAAUUCCGGGUGGAGUGGUGAAACGCGUAGAGAUCGGAAAGAACACCAACGGCGAAAGCACUCUGCUGGGCCGACACUGACACUGAGAGACGAAAGCUAGGGGAGCGAAUGGG